GCGAAUUAAUUUUUUUUUAGGUGUACCGCUUAUGUAUUGAUGAAAAUUGGACUUAACUAAAAAUAAAAUUGCACAAAAAGUUUAAGAAUUGUCCUAUUUCUUUAGUGUACCGAUUGAAAUAUUUUGAAAACUAUUUUGUUUUCAAAAUAUUUCAAUUUUUAUAGAUGAGACAUUAUUUGAUUUCGAAAUCUUAAUAUUCUAGUCAUAACUCGAAGUGCUCCUUGAUGUAUUUCUAAAAAGGAAUCCUUUUUUCUUCGAAUGUUAGCAACUAAUAUCCUUUCGAAACAAUAUUUUUUUCUUCAUGGGAUUGGAAUUUACUGUUAAUUCUUUCGAUUUCGUAUUCGAUUUAUGUAUUCUUUUUUCUAAAUGAAAGAAGGCAAAGGCUAACUUCCGAAGUUUAAGUAAAAAAGAAGAAGAUAAAGUUAAAUCUAGAUUUAUCUAGAAGCUCUAUAACUUGUAAUGAAGCUUAUACUUGAUAGAAAAGUUACCGUUGAACUUUAAACCACAAGUGUCUCUCCCUAAAUCUAACUUUA
rnacentral:lncRNA from 1 species